UACGUAGGGUGCAAGCGUUAAUCGGAAUUACUGGGCGUAAAGCGUGCGCAGGUGGUUUUGUAAGUUUGUCGUGAAAUCCCCGGGCUCAACCUGGGAAUGGCGAUGAAGACUGCAAGGCUAGAAUCUGGCAGAGGGGGGUAGAAUUCCACGUGUAGCAGUGAAAUGCGUAGAGAUGUGGAGGAACACCGAUGGCGAAGGCAGCCCCCUGGGUCAAGAUUGACGCUCAUGCACGAAAGCGUGGGGAGCAAACAGG
rnacentral:rRNA from 1 species